GUCCCUGUAGUGCAAUAGACAGCGUGUUGGACUUCUAAUCCAAAGGUCGUGGGUUCGAAUCCCACCUGGGAUG